rnacentral:rRNA from 1 species
GACGAACGCUGGCGGCGUGCUUAACACAUGCAAGUCGAACGGUAAGGCCCCAGCUUGCUGGGGUACACGAGUGGCGAACGGGUGAGUAACACGUGGGUGACCUGCCCCGCACUUCGGGAUAAGCCUGGGAAACUGGGUCUAAUACCGGAUAGGACCGCACCGUGAGGGUGUGGUGGAAAGUUUUUCGGUGUGGGAUGGGCCCGCGGCCUAUCAGCUUGUUGGUGGGGUAAUGGCCUACCAAGGCGGCGACGGGUAGCCGGCCUGAGAGGGUGGACGGCCACAUUGGGAUGGAGAUGAGGCCCGGACUCGUCGGGGAGGGGGGGGUGGGGAAGGGUGCAUAGUGGGAGGAAGGCUGAUGCAGCCACGCCGCGUGGGGGGUGAGGGGCAUCGGGUUGUAGAGUACAUCCACCAUCGACGAAGGUUUUAUGACGGUAGAUGGAGAAGAAGCACCGGCUAACUACGUG